GAUGAACGCUGGCGGCGUGCCUAAUACAUGCAAGUCGAACGCUGGAAAUCUAGCUUGCUAGCUUGAAGGAGUGGCGAACGGGUGAGUAAUACAUAAGCAACCUACCCACGAAGACUGGGAUAAUCUCUGGAAACGGGGACUAAUACCGGAUAGGUAAUCGGAAGGCAUCUUCUGAUUAUUAAAGGUUAAAAACACUGGUGGAUGGGCUUAUGGCGCAUUAGUUAGUUGGUGAGGUAACGGCCCACCAAGACGAUGAUGCGUAGCCGGCCUGAGAGGGUGAACGGCGAAAUUGGGACAGGGCCCCGGCCCAGACGCUAGGGGGAGGAAGGGAAUGGGAAGUUACGGGAGAGGGGGAAACCCUGCCCCGCCAAGGCCGGGAGGAUGGUGUCGGGCUUGGGGUAGUAAGUUUCUGUUGAAGAAGAAAAACGGAAGAAAAGAAAGACUUAAUGACGGUACCCAAUCAAAAAGGCCCGGCUAACUUCGUG
rnacentral:rRNA from 1 species